UGAAUGGCUCCCCCACCCCCGUUUUCUCUGUAGCCCCUGAUCAAGCUGGGAGUUGAAAAUUCUCUUCCUUAUUUCAGGCUGCAGAUGAAACGCCUGGCUUGCCUUGCUGCCCCGCAACCCAGAUGCCAGCACGCCUUCCUCUCUAAGUCUUGGCUCAUCUGCCGUAAAUUAUGCAUAAUUCCAGUGCCUGCCUGACUUCAAGCCUUUCUGCCCCAUCCGCACACUCCAUCGUUCCUGUGUUGAUUCUGGUGCCUGCUUCACACCAGAGGAUAGAGUUAUCAUCUUAUGAGUUCCUUUAAGCUCCUUGGAUGAUAGGAGUGAGAAGUUGAUGGCCUAUAGUGUCUGGGAA